GUCAAAGGAAAUACAGAUUACGGUGGAUACCUAGGCAUCUAGAGUCGAAGAAGGGCGUCGAAACCAACGAAAAGCUUCGGGGAAGCUGUAAACAAGCAAAGCUGGAAACAAGCUAUGAUCCGGAGAUUCCCGAAUGGGGCAACCCCAAGUACUCACCCUUGAAUUCAUAGAGGGCUGAGAGGAAACCUGGUGAAUUGAAACAUCUUAGUAACCAGAGGAAAAGAAAGCAAACGCGAUUCCCUUAGUAGCGGCGAGCGAAACGGGAACAGCCUAAAUCUUCCCCGCAAGGAGAAGAGGUAGUGGGAGGAACGCCGUAAAAAUUGAAUUCUAGACGAAGCAGCUGAAUCCUGUACCAAAGAUGGUGAAAGUCCCGUAGUCGAAAGAUUUCAAUUUUUUAGUUCUUAUCCCGAGUAGCCUGGGACACGUGAAAUCCCGGGUGAAUCAGCGAGGACCACCUCGUAAGGCUAAAUACUCCUAGAUGACCGAUAGCGAACAAGUACCGCGAGGGAAAGGUGAAAUAGAACCCCUGAAGGGGAGUGAAAUAGAACAUGAAACCGUAAUCUUACAAGCAGUGGGAGGGGGUGACCUUUAGCUACUAAGCCGAAGGACCUCUGACCGCGUGCCUGUUGAAGAAUGAGCCGGCGACUUAUAGGAAGUGGCUUGGUUAAAUACCUCAAAGGUAUGAAGCCGUAGCGAAAGCGAGUCUGAAUAGGGCGUCGUCAUUUUCUAUAGACCCGAACCCGGGUGAUCUAACCAUGACCAGGGUGAAGCUUGGGUAACACCAAGUGGAGGCCCGAACCGACCGAUGUUGAAAAAUCGGCGGAUGAGUUGUGGUUAGGGGUGAAAUACCAAUCGAACUCGGAGCUAGCUGGUUCUCCCCGAAAUGCGUUGAGGCGCAGCGGCGAAUGAUGGGCUGUCUAGGGGUAAAGCUCUGUUUCGAUGCGGGCUGCGAAAGCGGUACCAAAUCGUGGCAAACUAAGAAUACUAGACAUGCUUUCCAUUCGCCAGUGAGACGGUGGGCGAUAAGGUUCAUCGUCAAGAGGGAAACAGCCCAGACCAUCAGCUAAGGCCCCAAAAUGGCCGCUAAGUGGCAAAGGAGGUGAGAAUGCUGAAACAACCAGGAGGUUUGCUUAGAAGCAGCCAUCCUUUAAAGAGUGCGUAAUAGCUCACUGGUAAAGCGUUCUUGCGCCGAAAAUGAUCGGGACUAAGCGGCCUGCCGAAGCUGUGGGAAUUUAAAACUGAAAAAUAAAUUCGGUAGGGGAGCGUUCCGCCACCGGGUGAAGCAUCAACGUAAGUCGAUGUGGACGGGGCGGAAGUGAGAAUGUCGGCUUGAGUAACGAAAACAUUGGUGAGAAUCCAAUGCCCCGAAAGUCUAAGGGUUCCUCCACUAGGUUCGUCCAUGGAGGGUGAGUCAGGACCUAAGACGAGUCUGGCAUGCCAGGGUAGUCGAUGGAAAACAGAUUAAUAUUUCUGUACUCAUAUGUUCGCGAGAAUGAGGGACGGAGCAGGGUAAAAUUAGUUGGUUUAGGAAUCCAACGAAAGCGUACGAGAUGUUGAGAAGGAGAAGAAAAACUCUCUUCGAGUUAAGUCGUGAUACGAUUCGCAAACUUUGCAAGAAGUUUGUGGGUUUAAUUGAUCUCAUACUCCCAAGAAAAGCUCAGAUUUUCGAUCGAAACAUGUGACCUGUACCCCAAACCGACACAGGUGGACUGGUAGAGAAUACUAAGGGGCGCGAGAGAACUCUCUCUAAGGAACUCGGCAAACUGGCCCCGUAACUUCGGGAGAAGGGGUGCCAACCUAUUGGUUGGUUGCAGUGACCAGGCCCAAGCGACUGUUUACCAAAAACACAGGUCUCCGCGAAGUCGUAAGACGAUGCAUGGGGGCUGACGCCUGCCCAGUGCCGGAAGGUGAAGGAAGUCGGUUCGGCGUAAGCCAAAGCUGACGACCGAAGCCCCGGUGAACGGCGGCCGUAACUAUAACGGUCCUAAGGUAGCGAAAUUCCUUGUCAGGUAAGUUCUGACCCGCACGAAAGGCGUAACGAUUUGGGCGCUGUCUCGGAGAGAGGCUCGGUGAAAUAGACAUGUCCGUGAAGAUCCGGACUACUUGCACCUGGACAGAAAGACCCUAUGAAGCUUGACUAUAACUUGGGAUUGGGUUUGGGCCCUCCUUGCGCAGUCUAGGUGGGAGGCGUUGAGGAUUUCCUUUCGGGGAAAUCGGAGCCAUCAGUGAGAGACCACUCUAGGAGGGCUAGGAUCCUAAUGGCGAUCCUUGAAUCAGGACGCUUGACAGUCUCAGGCGGGUAGUUUGACUGGGGCGGUCGCCUCCUAAAAGGUAACGGAGGCGUGCAAAGGUUCCCUCAGGCUGGACGGAAAUCAGCCGUAGAGUGUAAAGGCAGAAGGGAGCUUGACUGCAAGACUUACAAGUCGAGCAGGGGCGAAAGCCGGCCUUAGUGAUCCGACGGUUCCGCGUGGAAGGGCCGUCGCUCAACGGAUAAAAGUUACUCUAGGGAUAACAGGCUGAUCUUCCCCAAGAGUUCACAUCGACGGGAAGGUUUGGCACCUCGAUGUCGGCUCAUCGCAACCUGGGGCGGUAGUACGUCCCAAGGGUUGGGCUGUUCGCCCAUGAAAGCGGUACGUGAGCUGGGUUCAGAACGUCGUGAGACAGUUCGGUCCAUAUCCGGUGAAAGCGCUAGAGCAUUGAGAGGAGUCUUCCCUAGUACGAGAGGACCGGGAAGGACGCACCUAGGGUCUGCCAGUUCUCAUUCCAAUGGGAUACGCUGGGUAGCCAUGUGCGGAGUGGAUAACUGCUGAAAGCAUCUAAGUAGGAAGCCCACCUCAAGAUGAGUGCUCUCCAUUAGGUCACGGCUAGACAAGCCGUUUGAUAGGUGACAGGUGUAAAAGCUGUAAAGCACUAGCUGAGUCAUCCUAAUAGACCGAUUGAAUUUGAC
rnacentral:rRNA from 1 species